UACGUAGGGUGCAAGCGUUGUCCGGAAUUAUUGGGCGUAAAGAGCUCGUAGGCGGUCUGUCGCGUCGGCUGUGAAAACCCGGGGCUCAACCCCGGGCCUGCAGUCGAUACGGGCAGACUAGAGUGUGAUAGGGGAGACUGGAAUUCCUGGUGUAGCGGUGAAAUGCGCAGAUAUCAGGAGGAACACCGGUGGCGAAGGCGGGUCUCUGGGCCAUAACUGACGCUGAGGAGCGAAAGCGUGGGGAGCGAACAGG
rnacentral:rRNA from 1 species